UACGUAGGGUGCAGGCGUUAAUCGGAAUUACUGGGCGUAAAGCGUGCGCAGGCGGUUUGCUAAGACAGGUGUGAAAUCCCCGGGCUUAACCUGGGAACUGCGCUUGUAACUGGCAAGCUUGAGUGUGGCAGAGGGGGGUGGAAUUCCACGUGUAGCAGUGAAAUGCGUAGAGAUGUGGAGGAACACCGGUGGCGAAGGCGGCCUUCUGGACAGUGACUGACGCUGAGACGCGAAAGCGUGGGGAGCAAACAGG
rnacentral:rRNA from 1 species